rnacentral:rRNA from 1 species
UGGGGAAUAUUGGACAAUGGGCGAAAGCCUGAUCCAGCCAUGCCGCGUGUGUGAAGAAGGUCUUCGGAUUGUAAAGCACUUUAAGUUGGGAGGAAGGGCAUUAACCUAAUACGUUAGUGUUUUGACGUUACCGACAGAAUAAGCACCGGCUAACUCUGUGCCAGCAGCCGCGGUAAUACAGAGGGUGCAAGCGUUAAUCGGAAUUACUGGGCGUAAAGCGCGCGUAGGUGGUUUGUUAAGUUGGAUGUGAAAUCCCCGGGCUCAACCUGGGAACUGCAUUCAAAACUGACUGACUAGAGUAUGGUAGAGGGUGGUGGAAUUUCCUGUGUAGCGGUGAAAUGCGUAGAUAUAGGAAGGAACACCAGUGGCGAAGGCGACCACCUGGACUAAUACUGACACUGAGGUGCGAAAUCGUGGGGAGCAAACA